rnacentral:rRNA from 1 species
GCAAGUCGAGCGGUAGAAUAUUAAUUGAAGCUUUGGUUGAUUUUAAUAUUUGAGAGCGGCGAACGGGUGAGUAACACGUUGGUAUCUGCCCCCAAGUCAGGGAUAGCCAUUGGAAACGAUGAUUAAUACCGGAUAGUCUCUUCGGAGUAAAAAUUUAUUGCUUGGGGAGGAACCUGCGUUCUAUCAGCUAGUUGGUGAGGUAAUAGCUCACCAAGGCAAUGACGGAUACCUGGUCUGAGAGGAUGAUC